UUGGAGGUUGUGGCCUUGAGCCGUGGCUUUCGGAGCUAACGCGUUAAGUAGACCGCCUGGGGAGUACGGUCGCAAGAUUAAAACUCAAAUGAAUUGACGGGGGCCCGCACAAGCGGUGGAGCAUGUGGUUUAAUUCGAUGCAACGCGAAGAACCUUACCUACUCUUGACAUCCAGAGAACUUUCCAGAGAUGGAUUGGUGCCUUCGGGAACUCUGAGACAGGUGCUGCAUGGCUGUCGUCAGCUCGUGUCGUGAGAUGUU
rnacentral:rRNA from 1 species